rnacentral:lncRNA from 1 species
GUAACUGCUGUAGCCAGUAAUGAGUAAUGAAGGAGAGAAAGAGAUUAUAAGUAUAUGCAAUUCCAAAGCUUGCAAAUUAAAUUUCAUUAUUAAAAUUAUUAAUAAAUAUCGAUGAUGUCAUGAUGAUGUACUCUCCAACUAAACACCAGCUUAGUAAUAUUAUCACUCUUCCAUCAUUGAAGCUGUUCUGCUUUUUGAUUGAAUUGACGCUUAAAAGUAAAACUAUAACUUUCUAACCAUAAUAAUGCUGACCUGAAGGUGAAUCACCA